UUCAGUUUCUUCAGUUUUCUCUAUCAGUAUAAGAUAAGAGAGAAUUAGCAUGGACCCUGCGCAAGGAUGACAGCAAAUUAACCAAGCGUUUCAAACUUUUU
rnacentral:snRNA from 1 species